rnacentral:lncRNA from 1 species
CAAACUUGAAUCAAAGUUUACAUGGGGGGGCAAAGAUAUACCUUCCGUGACGACUCCGUCAAAUCCCCACUUGCAAGUCCUCCGACAACUUACCUUAAAAUGUGCUCUCCAUCAAAUACAGUCUCCGCGCCUCCACGUGUUCUAUCUUAUCCUCUUUCAAACCUUUUCAAUCUCCUACACCUGUUCCUACCCUAAUGCCUUUGAAACCUACCUGGCAAAUGGUCAAAUGUUUUAACGUUAUCCUCCAAAGACCAUCAGAUGGCAAGAUAUGACAUUGAUGCUAACCCUUUUAUACCGCAGACGAUCAUCUCUCCCCCACCUCUAUCCACAAGAAUUAAUAGUGGCGAUUUCUCUUCCCCUUCAUUUACCAACAACUCUGAAAAGUUCAAUGGCGAACGCUCUUGCAUUCUCUUUCUCAGCCCCAAUCCGGGCCUCAUCCGAAUCACUUAAAAGACCCGACCCGAGUCGUAAGAAUCCCAUGGUGGACCCCUCUCUUCGGGUGGUCAUCCAACCCCGAUUACCUCAACGAUAGCAAUGCCGGAAACACAUCGGAGACGAAGCCGAGAUGCAGAUACACACUGGGGAGCUUCACGGAGGAGAAAGCGAGGCAACUCCGAAAGAAGACGAUGGAGAACUCGUCGUUUCACGAUAUGAUGUACCACUCGGCGAUCGCGUCUCGGCUGGCGUCGGAUAUCUCCGAGAAGUGAUUGAAGGGUAGUAAGGGAAAAAAUAAAUUGUCGAAAUGAAAAUGUAUCCAUCACCGUCGUUAUUGUCCGUCGGGAUUUCGGGCAAUGUUUGCGUUAAGGACAGACAUUGUACUUUAAUAUUGAUUUUAGCCCGUUCAUGAACGGUGAUGCAUUAUCUUUUCCUUCUUUCUUUUUUGGGUACAAAUGCCUUCUCUUUUCUGAAAUUCUGACGGUGUCAUACUUUUUUGCCGACGUGGAAGGCAGUUUUCUUUUAAUAAUCAGGAUCUACUUUAGAUCUUUCCACGUCAGCAUCUGGCUACCUCUUUCAUUUUCUAUCUUUUUCACAAACGUCAAAUUUAUAUUCAUUAAACGCGAUAUAUUUAACUUGUUGAAGUCUUCUUAAUAAAUAGUGAAUAGAUUUAAAUUUACAUAAUUUUUUUAAAUAAAAUAGAUUAAAUUAAAAAUUAUUUAAUGAAA